AGGGCUUGACAUGUAGGUGAAGCGGCGGAAACGUCGUGGCCGAAAGGAGCCUACACAGGUGGUGCAUGGCU
rnacentral:rRNA from 1 species